rnacentral:rRNA from 1 species
AUUGAACGCUGGCGGCAGGCUUAACACAUGCAAGUCGAGCGAGCGGAGGACGGGUGAGUAAUGUCUGGGAAACUGGCUGAUGGAGGCGGAUAACGAGUGGAAAAGGUAGCUAACACCGCAUAAAAUCAGAUGUGGAGAGAUGGGAUGAGCUAUGGGGUGGGGUAAGGGCUCACCUAGGCGACGAGCCCUAGCCGUUCUGAGAGGAUGACCGGCCACACUGGGACUGAGACACGGUCCAGACUCCUACGGGAGGCAGCAGUGGGGAAUAUUGCGCAAUGGGCGCAAGCCUGAUGCAGCCAUGCCGCGUGUGUGAAGAAGGCCUUCGGUUUGUAAAGCACUGUUAGCAGGGAGGCGUUACUCACCGAGGAAGCACCGGCUAACUCCGUGCCAGCAGCCGCGGUAAUUC